CUCUGCGCUGUAUAUAAUGUUAACAUUUAUUAAACCUACUGUAACUGUAAUAAUAAUAAAGGGUUGAAGAAGAAUAGGGAGGGAGGGAGAAGGAAUAUGGAAAUAUAGGAAUACCAAAUAUGGAAUAAAUAAGGAAAUACAGAAUAUGAAGUAUAAUAAAAAGGAACAUGUAAUAUGUAUUAUAUUAUGAACAUUCAAUUAUUUAGUGAAUUUAAUUUUAAAUUGCCAUUCCAGUUAGAUGAGGGCAUUGUUGCAGUUCAACAAGACACACUGUUUUACCCACCUCUCUCUUCUCCACAGGGUGCUGGGAGUGCAACACAGGAGGAGUUCUGGACAUACAGGAUGCCUGCUAAUGAGAUGGAGGAACUUUGCAGGAGGUCUCAGCUGCUGGGCAGGCUCCCAAGUGUCUCCCACCAUCCAUGGCAUCCUCGCUUCAGGAAGGAGCUUUGGAUAACGGGGUCUGCCAGUGUUUGGCAGCAAUUUAAGUUCUCUCCUCUACCACCACUCUCCAAUCUCAUCUGGCAGGGCUGCUCACAUAUGUGACACGAGAGGAAAUGAGCAUUAAAUGAAAUGCACUGAAGUGCCUGUUGAA